rnacentral:rRNA from 1 species
GGGCCCGCACAAGCGGUGGAGCAUGUGGUUUAAUUCGAUGCAACGCGAAGAACCUUACCAGGGCUUGACAUACUACAAAUUCUUUUGAGAAAAAGAAGUGCCUUCGGGAAUGUAGAUACAGGUGGUGCAUGGCUGUCGUCAGCUCGUGUCGUGAGAUGUUGGGUUAAGUCCCGCAACGAGCGCAACCCUUAUUUUUAGUUACCAAUUCGUUGGGUUCUCUAGAAAGACUGCCGGUGACAAACCGGAGGAAGGUGAGGAUGACGUCAAGUCAGCAUGCCCCUUAUGUCCUGGGCUACACACGUGCUACAAUGGCUAAGACAAAGAGUCGCGAACUUGCAAGAGUCAGCUAAUCUCAUAAACUUAGUCUAAGUUCAGAUUGUAGGCUGCAACUCGCCUACAUGAAGUUGGAAUCGCUAGUAAUCGCUGGUC